rnacentral:rRNA from 1 species
GCACCUUCCGAUACGGCUACCUUGUUACGACUUUACCCCAGUCAUGAACCCUGCCGUGGCAGUCGCCCUCCUUGCGGUUAGGCUAACGGCUUCUGGCAAAACCCACUCCCAUGGUAUGACGGGCGGUGUGUACAAGACCCGGGAACGUAUUCACCGCGACAUUCUGAUCCGCGAUUACUAGCGAUUCCAGCUUCACGUAGUCGAGUUGCAGACUACGAUCCGGACUACGAUGCAUUUUCUGAGAUUAGCUCCCCCUCGCGGGUUGGCAACCCUCUGUAUGCACCAUUGUAUGACGUGUGAAGCCCUACCCAUAAGGGCCAUGAGGACUUGACGUCAUCCCCACCUUCCUCCGGUUUGUCACCGGCAGUCUCUUUAGAGUGCUCUUGCGUAGCAACUAAAGACAAGGGUUGCGCUCGUUGCGGGACUUAACCCAACAUCUCACGACACGAGCUGACGACAGCCAUGCAGCACCUGUGUUCACUUUCCCUUACGGGCACCUAAUGUAUCUCUACUUCGUUAGUGACAUGUCAAGGGUAGGUAAGGUUUUUCGCGUUGCAUCGAAUUAAUCCACAUCAUCCACCGCUUGUGCGGGUCCCCGUCAAUUCCUUUGAGUUUUAAUCUUGCGACCGUACUCCCCAGGCGGCUGACUUCACGCGUUAGCUACGUA